AGCAGUGUAGCAUAGUGGUUAAGGAGCAUGACUCAUGAUCAAAAGGUUGCUGGUUCGAUUCCUCCUGGGGUAC
rnacentral:tRNA from 1 species